rnacentral:tRNA from 1 species
ACCGUCGUUGUGCAGGUCGGUGAGCACCUGCACACGCUGGCCCCAUUGGUACUUGGGCGUCCUGGGUUCGAUCAUGGCCGUCCCCCGGCGACGGUG